rnacentral:rRNA from 1 species
AUUGAACGCUGGCGGCAGGCCUAACACAUGCAAGUCGAGCGGAUGAAGGGAGCUUGCUCCUGGAUUCAGCGGCGGACGGGGGAGUAAUGCCUAGGAAUCUGCCUGGUAGUGGGGGAUAACGUCCUGAAACGGGCGCUAAUACCGCAUACGUCCUGAUGGAGAAAGUGGGGGAUCUUCGGACCUCACGCUAUCAGAUGAGCCUAGGUCGGAUUAGCUAGUUGGUGGGGUAAAGGCCUACCAAGGCGACGAUCCGUAACUGGUCUGAGAGGAUGAUCAGUCACACUGGAAGUGAGACACGGUCCAGACUACUACGGGAGGCAGCAGUGGGGAAUAUUGGACAAUGGGCGAAAGCCUGAUCCAGCCAUGCCGCGUGUGUGAAGAAGGUCUUCGGAUUGUAAAGCACUUUAAGUUGGGAGGAAGGGCAGUAAGUUAAUACCUUGCUGUUUUGACGUUACCAACAGAAUAAGCACCGGCUAACUUCGUG